GCANGCCUUCACAUGGCAAGUUCGAACGGUAACAGGCUUAAGUCCUGACGAAGAUGCGCGUAACGCGGUGAGUUAAUGCUAUCGUGAACGGUGCCCAGAUCGCUGGGGGAUAACUGCUCGAAAGAGCANCAUAAUACCGCAUACGACCUGAGGGAUGAAAGCGGGGGAUCGCAAGACCUCGCGCGAUUGGAGCGGCCGAUAUCAGAUUAAGUAGUUGGUGAGGUAAAGGCUCACCAAGCCGACGAUCUGUAGCUGGUCCGAAGGACGACCAGCCACACUGGGACUGAAACACGGCCCAGACUCCUACGGGAGGC
rnacentral:rRNA from 1 species